GGGGGAUAACGUAGCGAAAGUUACGCUAAUACCGCAUACGAUCUAAGGAUGAAAGCAGGGGACCGCAAGGCCUUGUGCUCCUGGAGCGGCCGAUAUCUGAUUAGCUAGUUGGUGAGGUAAAGGCUCACCAAGGCAUCGAUCAGUAGCUGGUCUGAGAGGACGACCAGCCACACUGGAACUGAGACACGGUCCAGACUCCUACGGGAGGCAGCAGUGGGGAAUUUUGGACAAUGGGGGCAACCCUGAUCCAGCAAUGCCGCGUGAGUGAAGAAGGCCUUCGGGUUGUAAAGCUCUUUUGUCAGGGAAGAAACGGUUUUGGCUAAUAUCCAGAGCUAAUGACGGUACCUGAAGAAUAAGCACCGGCUAACUACGUGCCAGCAGCCGCGGUAAUACGUAGGGUGCAAGCGUUAAUCGGAAUUACUGGGCGUAAAGCGUGCGCAGGCGGUUUUGUAAGACUGUCGUGAAAUCCCCGGGCUCAACCUGGGAAUGGCGAUGGUGACUGCAAGGCUAGAGUUUGGCAGAGGGGGGUAGAAUUCCACGUGUAGCAGUGAAAUGCGUAGAUAUGUGGAGGAACACCGAUGGCGAAGGCAGCCCCCUGGGUCAAAACUGACGCUCAUGCACGAAAGCGUGGGGAGCAAACAGGAUUAGAUACCCUGGUAGUCCACGCCCUAAACGAUGUCUACUAGUUGUCGGGUCUUAAUUGACUUGGUAACGCAGCUAACGCGUGAAGUAGACCGCC
rnacentral:rRNA from 1 species